rnacentral:rRNA from 1 species
CCUACGGGAGGCAGCAGUGGGGGAUAUUGCACAAUGGGGGGAACCCUGAUGCAGCGACGCCGCGUGGGUGAAGGAGUACUUCGGUAUGUAAAGCCCUAUCGGCAGGGAAGAAGCAAGACGGUACCUGACUAAGAAGCCCCGGCUAACUACGUGCCAGCAGCCGCGGGAAUACGUAGGGGGCGAGCGUUAUCCGGAUUCACUGGGGGUAAAGGGAGCGUAGACGGCCAUGCAAGCCAGGGGUGAAAGCCCGGGGCCCAACCCCGGGACUGCCCUUGGAACUGUGCGGCUAGAGUGCGGGAGGGGCAGGCGGAAUUCCAGGUGUAGCGGUGAAAUGCGUAGAUAUAAGGAGGAACACCGGCGGCGAAGGCGGCCUGCUGGGCCGCGACUGACGUUGAGGGUCGAAAGCGUGGGGAGCGAACAGGAUUAGAUACCCCUGUAGUC